rnacentral:rRNA from 1 species
UACGUAGGGUGCUAGCGUUGUCCGGAUUUAUUGGGCGUAAAGAGCUCGUAGGCGGUUUGUCGCGUCUGCCGUGAAAGUCCGGGGCUCAACUCCGGAUCUGCGGUGGGUACGGGCAGACUAGAGUGAUGUAGGGGAGACUGGAAUUCCUGGUGUAGCGGUGAAAUGCGCAGAUAUCAGGAGGAACACCGAUGGCGAAGGCAGGUCUCUGGGCAUUAACUGACGCUGAGGAGCGAAAGCGUGGGGAGCGAACAGG